UACGUAGGUGGCGAGCGUUGUCCGGAUUUAUUGGGUUUAAAGGGUGCGUAGGCGGCUUAAUAAGUCAGUGGUGAAAUACUCCAGCUUAACUGGAGGGGUGCCAUUGAUACUGUUGAGCUUGAGUACAGAUGAGGUAGGCGGAAUUGACGGUGUAGCGGUGAAAUGCAUAGAUAUCGUCAAGAACACCGAUAGCGAAGGCAGCUUACUGGGCUGUAACUGACGCUGAUGCACGAAAGUGUGGGGAUCAAACAGG
rnacentral:rRNA from 1 species